rnacentral:rRNA from 1 species
UACGUAAGGGGCAAGCGUUGUCCGGAAUCACUGGGCGUAAAGCGCACGUAGGCGGACUCUUAAGUCAGGGGUGAAAUCCUGGAGCUCAACUCCAGAACUGCCUUUGAUACUGAAGAUCUUGAGUUCGGGAGAGGUGAGUGGAACUGCGAGUGUAGAGGUGAAAUUCGUAGAUAUUCGCAAGAACACCAGUGGCGAAGGCGGCUCACUGGCCCGAUACUGACGCUGAGGCACGAAAGCGUGGGGAGCAAACAGG